rnacentral:lncRNA from 10 species
AGGAAAUGAAGAGAAGAAAAUUAUUUCAAACAAUUAUGGGCCUCUCUCUCCAGGAUGAAGCUAAAGCCUGCUGCUGUUUACCUGUCUGGAACCAAGGUGGAAAAAUACCCUAGAGGCCAAAUCCUUAUUUCUUAUUUCUAGGGACAAUUUAGUCUGCUGUGUUCCACUAUGGCGUCCUAUGAGGGACAUUCCAAUGUCAGAGCAAGAGUCAGAGAAGUUCUCACUUCAUCCUUCCACUUCCACUCCUUCCUCCCGAGAAUGCUCUCCAUCCAGACACCAGGGACAUCUUUUAAACUAAGAACUAAUGAUGACAUUUCCUCACUUAAAAUCUUCCAAAGGCUUCCUAAUAUAGGACUAAAACCCACACUUCUUACCACGUCCCCUGUCUCCGUCUCUAAUCUCAUCUCAUACUACCCUUUCCCCAGUGCCACUGGCCUUUCUUCCAUCCUUCAAACACCACAAACUUAUUCCUGCCUCCUGACCUUGACCUUUGCUCGUCUCCCUAUCUGGAUUGGGUCUUGGCCUCAACAUCACCCCUGACUGAGGCCUUCCUGACCUUCCAAGCUAUAAAGUAGCACCACUGCAGGAUUCCUCAACCCUCAGGCAGUCUCUUCUCUCUUCUUAGCACUGGCUAUCUCUGAAUUUAUUUAUUUACAUCAUCAUGGUUUGUCUCCAUUCACCAGAGUAAAGGAUUCAGGAGGGCAGGGACUUUACCUUGUUGACCACUCCAUCCCUGAAACCAAAAAUAGCAGCUCAUCCAAAGAAGAUACUCAAAAAUAUGUGAACGGCUAAUCAAUAUGUGAAUCACAGUCUUGCUAUUUCCUUGAUACUCUGUGGGAUGAGGGUCUGGCAAAUAUCCUGUCAGGGGUUAUUGGCCUCACCUUUCCUCCCUUUCCCAACCCCUCACUACAAGCGUUUCUUUACAGAAGUGUUCACCUCUUGUAUUUGUUGUUCUCUCUUAUUUCCCUCAACCCUCAGACUGCUGUGCUCCUUCUGAUUGAAAUGAUUCAGGAGAUGUCUGGUCAACUCAUCCGUGCUGCUGUGUCCACAACCAACUAAGCAUGGCUGGGAUGGACUGCCUGGUGAAGAAGGACUUGAUUUAUAAUUGGCACUCAUUGGAAACCAAUGUUAAGACUUUUGGAUCCACACGAGGUCUUGGAGAUCCUGCAGCCUAAAUCUCUGGGACUCAGUGUCCUCAUCUGUAAACUGAGGAGGUUGUCGUGGACUGCCCAGUCAUUCCAUGCUGGGAUUCAGCCAGCCCCAGGACUUCUGAAUCCAAGUCCAAUGCUUGCUCUAUCCUAGCAAAUUCUCCACUCUUUCUUUAAAUGCCAGCUGUCAUCUAUGUCUCAAAAAAAUUAAAAAAAAAAUAAAAAGAAAUCCUAGCUGACUGUUGACCCUGAGUGGCAAUGUGGCUAAGAACCCAAUCAAUCUGCCUUGGCACAGGAAGAACAGGAAAGUAGAAAGCAUCCAAGUUGGGGAAAGUAACUCUGCGUCCACUUCCUUUGGCCAUUUUCCCUCCCCCUUUGUUGCUCUUAACACAUAAUGAUAAUAACGGUAACAAUCAUAUAGCUAACAUCUAUAGAGAACAGACUACAUGUCAGGUGUGGUUCUAAGUAUUUUAUAAGCAUUAAACAUAUUUGAUCCUCAAACAACCCUUUGAAGGAGGUAUGAUUAUUAUUUCUAUUUUACAGAUAAGGAAACUGAAGCACAGAGAAGUUAAGUGACCUGCCCAAGGCCACACAGCUAAAAGUACCAAAGCUGAGAUUGAAUUCACAUAGCCUGGCACCAGAGCCCAAGGUCUAUACUAAAGAGAUGAUGACAUGAUAAUAAGCCUGAAUAGACUUGUGAAAAGAUAAAGUUUGAUUACUUCAUGAACU